GACAAACGCUGGCGGGGUGCAUGAGACAUGCAAGUCGAACGGGGUUGAUCGGGCUUGCUCGAUCAACCUAGUGGCGGACGGCUGAGUAACGCGUAGGUGACCUACCCGGAAGUGGGGAAUAACUGCCCGAAAGGGUGGCUAAUACCGCAUUUGGUCGGCGAAUCGGAUCGCCGUCCAAAGCCGAAAGGCGCUUCCGGAGGGGCCUGCGUCCGAUUAGCUAGUUGGCGAGGUAACGGCUCACCAAGGCGACGAUCGGUAGCUGGUCUGAGAGGAUGAUCAGCCAGACUGGGACUGAGAACGGCCCAGACUCCUACGGGAGGCAGCAGUCGGGAAUUUUGCCCAAUGGACGAAAGUCUGAGGCAGCAACUCCGCGUGAGGGAUGAAGGCCUUCGGGUCGUAAACCUCUUUUCCCAGGGAAGAUCCAAGACGGUACCUGGGGAAUAAGCCACGGCUAACUACGUG
rnacentral:rRNA from 1 species